rnacentral:rRNA from 1 species
CGCGCGCAGGCGGCCUUUUAAGUUGGAUGUGAAAGCCUAUGGCUCAACCAUAGAACUGCAUCCAAAACUAUCAGGCUAGAGUGUGGGAGAGGAAGAUGGAAUUAGUUGUGUAGGGGUAAAAUCCGUAGAGAUAACUAGGAAUACCAAAAGCGAAGGCAAUCUUCUGGAACAUUACUGACGCUGAGGCGCGAAAGCGUGGGGAGCAAACAGGAUUAGAUACCCUGGUAGUCCACGCCCUAAACGAUGAAUGUUAGUCGUCGGGUAGCUAGUCUAUUCGGUGAUGCAGCUAACGCAUUAAACAUUCCGCCUGGGGAGUACGGCCGCAAGAUUAAAACUCAAAGGAAUAGACGGGGACCCGCACAAGUGGUGGAGCAUGUGGUUUAAUUCGAAGAUACGCGAAGAACCUUACCUAGCCUUGACAUAUAUUAGAACACUUUAGAGAUAGAGUGGUGCCUUCGGGAGCUUUUAUACAGGUGCUGCACGGCUGUCGUCAGCUCGUGUCGUGAGAUGUUGGGUUAAGUCCCGCAACGAGCGCAACCCUCGUCACUAGUUACUAACGGUUCGGCCGAGGACUCUAGUGAGACUGCCUUCGCAAGGAGGAGGAAGGUGAGGACGACGUCAAGUCAUCAUGGCCCUUACGGCUAGGGCAACACACGUGCUAUAAUGGCCAGGACAAUGAGACGCGAUACCGCGAGGUGGAGCAAAUCUAUAAACCCGG